AGGGAAAUAGCUCAGUGGUAGAGUGCAUGCUUAGCAUACAUGAGGUCCUGGGUUCAAUCUCCAGUACCUCCA
rnacentral:tRNA from 1 species